UGGGGAAUAUUGGACAAUGGGCGAAAGCCUGAUCCAGCCAUGCCGCGUGUGUGAAGAAGGUCUUCGGAUUGUAAAGCACUUUAAGUUGGGAGGAAGGGCAUUAACCUAAUACGUUAGUGUUUUGACGUUACCGACAGAAUAAGCACCGGCUAACUCUGUGCCAGCAGCCGCGGUAAUACAGAGGGUGCAAGCGUUAAUCGGAAUUACUGGGCGUAAAGCGCUCGUAGGUGGUUUGUUAAGUUGGAUGUGAAAUCCCCGGGCUCAACCUGGGAACUGCAUUCAAAACUGACUGACUAGAGUAUGGUAGAGGGUGGUGGAAUUUCCUGUGUAGCGGUGAAAUGCGUAGAUAUAGGAAGGAACACCAGUGGCGAAGGCGACCACCUGGACUAAUACUGACACUGAGGUGCGAAAGCGUGGGGAGCAAACA
rnacentral:rRNA from 1 species